ACGAACGCUGGCGGCAUGCCUAACACAUGCAAGUUGAACGAGUAUGGACUAGCUUUGCUAGAACCCAGCUAGUGGCAGACGGGUGAGUAACGCGUGGGAACCUCCCUUAUAGUAUGGAAUAGCCACUGGAAACGGUGAUUAAUACCAUAUACUCCCUUCGGGGGAAAGAUUUAUCGCUAUAAGAUGGGCCCGCGUUAGAUUAGCUAGUUGGUAGGGUAAUGGCCUACCAAGGCUUUGAUCUAUAGCUGGUUUGAGAGAAUGAUCAGCCACACUGGAACUGAGACACGGUCCAGACUCCUACGGGAGGCAGCAGUGGGGAAUAUUGGACAAUGGGCGAAAGCCUGAUCCAGCAAUGCCGCGUGAGUGAAGAAGGCCUUAGGGUUGUAAAACUCUUUCAGUAGGGAAGAUAAUGACGGUACCUACAUAAGAAGCACCGGCUAACUCCGU
rnacentral:rRNA from 1 species